UUUUAGAAGUGACAAUAAAAGAAUAUCAAACAAGAAUAUGGAUCCAGUCCAUCACAUAAGGAAAGCUUCUCUUGGUAUCUUGACUUUGCCUUUGGUUGAAGAGAUAAAAAGUACUCGGGUACUAAAUUUUUCAUUGUUGCUGUUGUCUUAGUUAUAGUAGCAUUGGCCGCCAUCUUAGUUCUUUGGCCCUUCACUUGAAAGCCGUAAAAACAUUUUGAAGCAAUAAAUCACGUGAUUGCAGACAAA